rnacentral:rRNA from 1 species
UACAGAGGUCUCAAGCGUUGUUCGGAUUCAUUGGGCGUAAAGGGUGCGUAGGCGGCGCGGUAAGUCGGGUGUGAAAUCUCGGAGCUUAACUCCGAAACUGCAUUCGAUACUGCCGUGCUUGAGGACUGGAGAGGAGACUGGAAUUUACGGUGUAGCGGUGAAAUGCGUAGAUAUCGUAAGGAAGACCAGUGGCGAAGGCGGGUCUCUGGACAGUUCCUGACGCUGAGGCACGAAGGUCAGGGG